UGAUGUAACCACCAUUGUGGUGAGGAGAGAGCCUGGGCCGAGCCAGCUGGUCAGUUUUGGAGGGAAUGUUUUAAAAAUUAAACCCCGGAUCCUGAACUGCAGGAAGAAGGUGGGGUGGGGGUGGUGCACACAUUUACAAAGCCAAACACUCACCAAUAAACUCAAUUGCCUCGUUGAACCAAGAGCUGAUAUCGGCUUUGUGGUUGUCCUCGACGGGGAUGCGCUUAUAGAGGUAGGAGUCCUCAAAAUGGUUGGGGCAGUUGGCAGAGACAUUGAUGAGAGCGGUGAUCCCCAACAUGUCUAGCAUGUCUUUUCUGGACGCGUG